UGCAGUCGAACGAUGAUGCCAGCUUGCUGGUGGAUUAGUGGCGAACGGGUGAGUAACACGUGAGUAACCUGCCCUUAACUCUGGGAUAAGCCUGGGAAACUGGGUCUAAUACCGGAUAUGACUCCUCAUCGCAUGGUGGGGGGUGGAAAGCUUUAUUGUGGUUUUGGAUGGACUCGCGGCCUAUCAGCUUGUUGGUGAGGUAAUGGCUCACCAAGGCGACGACGGGUAGCCGGCCUGAGAGGGUGACCGGCCACACUGGGACUGAGACACGGCCCAGACUCCUACGGGAGGCAGCAGUGGGGAAUAUUGCACAAUGGGCGAAAGCCUGAUGCAGCGACGCCGCGUGAGGGAUGACGGCCUUCGGGUUGUAAACCUCUUUCAGUAGGGAAGAAGCGAAAGUGACGGUACCUGCAGAAGAAGCGCCGGCUAACUACGUGCCAGCAGCCGCGGUAAUACGUAGGGCGCAAGCGUUAUCCGGAAUUAUUGGGCGUAAAGAGCUCGUAGGCGGUUUGUCGCGUCUGCCGUGAAAGUCCGGGGCUCAACUCCGGAUCUGCGGUGGGUACGGGCAGACUAGAGUGAUGUAGGGGAGACUGGAAUUCCUGGUGUAGCGGUGAAAUGCGCAGAUAUCAGGAGGAACACCGAUGGCGAAGGCAGGUCUCUGGGCAUUAACUGACGCUGAGGAGCGAAAGCAUGGGGAGCGAACAGGAUUAGAUACCCUGGUAGUCCAUGCCGUANACGUUGGGCACUAGGUGUGGGGGACAUUCCACGUUUUCCGCGCCGUAGCUAACGCAUUAAGUGCCCCGCCUGGGGAGUACGGCCGCAAGGCUAAAACUCAAAGGAAUU
rnacentral:rRNA from 1 species